rnacentral:rRNA from 1 species
AACAGGUGCUAAUACCGUAUAACACUAUUUUGCGCAUGGAAGAAAGUUGAAAGGCGCUUUUGCGUCACUGAUGGAUGGACCCGCGGUGCAUUAGCUAGUUGGUGAGGUAACGGCUCACCAAGGCAACGAUGCAUAGCCGACCUGAGAGGGUGAUCGGCCACACUGGGACUGAGACACGGCCCAGACUCCUACGGGAGGCAGCAGUAGGGAAUCUUCGGCAAUGGACGAAAGUCUGACCGAGCAACGCCGCGUGAGUGAAGAAGGUUUUCGGAUCGUAAAACUCUGUUGUUAGAGAAGAACAAGGAUGAGAGUAAAAUGUUCAUCCCUUGACGGUAUCUAACCAGAAAGCCACGGCUAACUACGUGCCAGCAGCCGCGGUAAUACGUAGGUGGCAAGCGUUGUCCGGAUUUAUUGGGCGUAAAGCGAGCGCAGGCGGUUUCUUAAGUCUGAUGUGAAAGCCCCCGGCUCAACCGGGGAGGGUCAUUGGAAACUGGGAGACUUGAGUGCAGAAGAGGAGAGUGGAAUUCCAUGUGUAGCGGUGAAAUGCGUAGAUAUAUGGAGGAACACCAGUGGCGAAGGCGGCUCUCUGGUCUGUAACUGACGCUGAGGCUCGAAAGCGUGGGGAGCGAACAGGAUUAGAUACCCUGGUAGUCCACGCCGUAAACGAUGAGUGCUAAGUGUUGGAGGGUUUCCGCCCUUCAGUGCUGCAGCAAACGCAUUAAGCACUCCGCCUGGGGAGUACGACCGCAAGGUUGAAACUCAAAGGAAUUGACGGGGGCCCGCACAAGCGGUGGAGCAUGUGGUUUAAUUCGAAGCAACGCGAAGAACCUUACCAGGUCUUGACAUCCUUUGACCACUCUAGAGAUAGAGCUUCCCCUUCGGGGGCAAAGUGACAGGUGGUGCAUGGUUGUCGUCAGCUCGUGUCGUGAGAUGUUGGGUUAAGUCCCGCAACGAGCGCAACCCUUAUUGUUAGUUGCCAUCAUUUAGUUGGGCACUCUAGCGAGACUGCCGGUGACAAACCGGAGGAAGGUGGGGAUGACGUCAAAUCAUCAUGCCCCUUAUGACCUGGGCUACACACGUGCUACAAUGGGAAGUACAACGAGUUGCGAAGUCGCGAGGCUAAGCUAAUCUCUUAAAGCUUCUCUCAGUUCGGAUUGUAGGCUGCAACUCGCCUACAUGAAGCCGGAAUCGCUAGUAAUCGCGGAUCAGCACGCCGCGGUG